rnacentral:tRNA from 1 species
GCGGAGGCGAUGACAGGCCCGGCUCUUGAAAAGCUUUGGGAGGCAACUCCCCGGGGGUUCGAAUCCCUCUCCCUCCGCA